rnacentral:rRNA from 1 species
UACGAAGGUCCCAAGCGUUAUCCGGAUUUAUUGGGUUUAAAGGGUGCGUAGGCGGGUUAUUAAGUCAGUGGUGAAAGCCUGCAGCUCAACUGCAGAAUUGCCAUUGAUACUGAUGAUCUUGAGUAUGAUUGAGGUGGGCGGAAUGUGUCAUGUAGCGGUGAAAUGCUUAGAUAUGACACAGAACACCGAUUGCGAAGGCAGCUCACUAAGUCAUAACUGACGCUGAUGCACGAAAGCGUGGGGAGCAAACAGG